rnacentral:rRNA from 1 species
AAACGUAGGAGGCGAGCGUUAUCCGGAUUUACUGGGCGUAAAGCGCGUGCAGGCGGUCUGGCAAGUCGGACGUGAAAGCUCCUGGCUCAACUGGGAGAGGCCGUUCGAAACUUCCAGACUAGAGGGCAGUAGAGGGAGGUGGAAUUCCGGGUGUAGCGGUGAAAUGCGUAGAUAUCCGGAGGAACACCAGUGGCGAAGGCGGCCUCCUGGACUGUCCCUGACGCUAAGACGCGAAAGCUAGGGGAGCGAACGGGAUUAGAAACCCGGGUAGUCC